AACCGUGAGAUCAUGACCUGAGUCAAAGUCAGAUGCUUAACUGACUGAGCCAUCCAGGCUUCUCUGUGCUAUGAAAGUUUCUCAGACUUUCCUAGUUUUUGAUGACCUGGACAAUUUUGAGGGGCAUUCUCAUCUUAUUCUGGAUUUAAGGGAGAAAAAAUCCAUUAUCUUUUCAGAAGAACUUGGCUAGAAAUAGCUAAGGUUCUGCUGAGAAGAGGAUUUAACUGGGAAUGUGCUCUUGGAAUUUCUGAAUUUGAAGAAGUAUGAUUGCUUGAAAGCAUACCAAGUGUUUAAAAGUUUGGAGAUCUAGCAACUGAACCUCCCUUGCUGCAUAGAAAUGGUUGGAAUUCUUCAAUUAGACCCAUUCUCCAUUCAAAUAACGUAGAUGCAUCACAAUAGUGUCUCUACGUGACUACCAGUAUAAAUUUCAUCUUUUCCUCCAGAAAACAUGAUUUGAUUAAUACAGAAUAAGAAGAGUACUGCUCUUUACCCAUUCCCAGGGACUGGUAGAGUGCCAAGCUGCCUAUUUCCCUCGUGAUUGCCGAAGGAUGAAUUUAUCCAUCAGCAGUAGUGCUUUGGACUAACUCAUGAGAUGAUAUGACGCCUGGGCAGCACCAGAAUUGUUAAAAAUGGACUGACAGAAAUGUAUCUGUAGUGACUCUUUUCCUACUUCAGCCUUCAAAGGAACACAGGGCAAAAAUUGCACAAAAGAAACAAACUGCAGCUCUUGAAAUAUAAUACCAGUGGAAAAACAAACAAACAAGCAAAAACCAAAUAAAAUCUCGAGACAAAAACUGGCCUAACCAUGACAACUAGAACUUAAAUAAGAUCUUGCCACACCUUUGCAGCCACCCAUAUCCAGUCUGUAUCCUGGAAAGACUUAUGACUAACCAAAGAGAUGGGAGACCAUGAAAAGAGUCAGUCAUGGAUUGGUAAAGAAACAUUGUCUUUGGGUUGGUGGUAAGGGAAGACAGAAGAAAUGGAGAAAAAAGGUAGAGCAGAAACCUGAGCCACAGCUGGAUUGAGGGCCCGUUCACUGAUAAAACAAGGAUGACUCAGUGAAGACCUGCGUCAGAAUUUCAGUUCAUCUAUGGCAUGAAUGGAUGCUGAAGUAGCUAAUAAUUUUUG